AUUGAACGCUGGCGGCAGGCCUAACACAUGCAAGUCGAACGAGUGGCGGACGGGUGAGUAAUGUCUGGGAAACUGCCCGAUGGAGGGGGAUAACUACUGGAAACGGUAGCUAAUACCGCAUACCAUCGGAUGUGCCCAGAUGGGAUUAGCUAGGAGGUGGGGUAACGGCUCACCUAGGCGACGAUCCCUAGCUGGGUUGAGAGGAUGAACCGCCACAAUGGGAAUGGGACCCGGUCCAGACUCCUAAGGGAGGCAGCAGGGGGGAAUAUUGCACAAUGGGGCGAAGGCUUAUGCAGCCAUGCCGCGUUUAUGAAGAAGGCAUUCGGGUUGGAAAGUACUUUCAGCUAGGAGGCGUUACUCGCAGAAGAAGGCUCGGCUAACUCCGUGCCAGCCGCCGCGGUAAUAC
rnacentral:rRNA from 1 species